AAUGUAUUUUUCAGAAUGAAAUGGGUAAUGCCUAGAGUAGUGAGGGCCUAAGAUGGCUGGAUUUUAAUUUCUAGAAAAGAGGAGAUAGGUGCGCAUUUGACUUCUCUAGAAAUGAUAGUGCCAUGGAUACAGACAAAGGCUUUCAUUAGAGCCAAAGUUACAAUUUUAAGAAUCAACAACGCAAUUUUGUUUUUGAUAUCAUUUGGGUCUAAAGAGUUUGCUCUUGUGUGUUCCAAUUCUUGGAAGGAUUUCGCUGGUCAACUAGACAGGGCUUUGAAUACCUCUUAGGUGAGGAUGUUGUAGUAUAGUGUUUAAGUUGAAUAUGCAUGAGGAACUAAGUAGCGCAUCAUUUUGGAUUUCUGAGAUGUUUAUGGCCUUUGUCUUGUCUAGAUGAGUUAAUUUGAAUAUAUCUGUGGAUUUGUUACAAUUUUGAGGUUUGUGGUCAAAUAAAUGGUUAAGAAAUAAAUUUUAAUUAGAAACUCUGAAACUCAGGUUUUAGAAAUUGCAGACAUUUGCAAGAAAGCAUAUUGCGCUUUGAUUCAAGUGGAGGAUGUUUUUGACCAUUCCACAAGGUUUCUGGUUAAAAGUGCUCAGAAUAUACUAGGUUAGAAAGAAGUUAGGUAGAUUUGUAGAGUUUUGCCCUUUCAUGCAAAUAUAGGAUUCUAAUUAGGGUAUCAAUCGGAUAUUCAAAUGGAGAAAGAAGGAACAAAGUAUAUCUGCAUGUUGUUAGAUUCUAAUUAGUGUAGGUGGGUUACUUAAGAGUUUAAUUGUGGGUUGUUGAAUAUUUGGAAUAUUGCCAAUUAAUUUUAUGAUAAAUGAGCUGUGUUGUGGUCAAACAAAUGGUGAAAAGAAAAAAGGCAUAUAGAACAUAAAGUUAGGUUUAAGAACAUAAAGUCAACAAGGUUCAUUUGGAGCCUUUUUUAACCAUUCUACAAGGCUUAAGGGAAUGAUUAACCAAAUAAUACUAGGUUUAAGAAAUCCCAAGAAUUGCAAGUCAGCAAGGCUCAUUUGGAGUCUUUUUUAGCCAUUUUACAAGGCUUAAGGCAAUGAUUAACCAAAUAAUACUAGGCUUGUUUAGAGGUUUGUUGAUGCUACACAAAGAUUGGUUCCUUAGCAGGAAAUUAGAGGGCUUGUACACAAGGAUGCAUUGCAUUUUGGAUUCUAUCUAAUUUAGGUGAAUUACUUGGGAUUUAUCUGUGGGUUUGUUUUCACAAAUUUUGAGCAUUGUUAAUGAUUUUAUGGUAAAUAAGUAGCACUGGGGUGAAGAAAACAGAGAAAGUUAAGGCAAUGAUAAGUAGCACAAGGUUCAUUUGGAGUCUUUUUUAGCCAUUCUACAAGGCUUAAGGCAAUGAUUAACCAAAUAAUACUAGGUUUGUUUAGAGGUUUGUUGAUGCUGCACAAAGAUUGGUUCCUUAGCAGGAAAUUAAUGGACUUGUACACAAGGAAGCAUUGCAUUUUGGAUUCUAUCUAAUUUAGGUGAAUUACUUGGGAUUUAUCUGUGGGUUUGUUUUCACAAAUUUUGAGCAUUGUUAAUGAUUUUAUGGUAAAUAAGUAGCACUGGGGUGAAGAAAACAGAGAAAGUUAAAAUGGUAUAGGGGAUCUGAGACUCUACUUCUAGAAAUUUCAGAGAUUUGGAAAAAACCAUAUUCCAUCAAGGUCCAUUUAGAGGUUGAUUUGACCAUUCUUCAAGGUUCAAGGCAAAAGUAAUUAGACAUACUAGCCUUAGUAAGAAGUUAGGUGAAUUGUGUAGACUUGUCCUUUGCAAGCAUUUACAGGAUUUUCAUGCACUGAUGUUGCAUUUUGGCAUUUGAUUUGAGUAUGGAAAUGAAACGACAGGCUGAAAAUAGUAUAUGCAUGUUUUCUUGGAUGUUGAUAUUUUGUUGGACUAAUUAAUCUAGAUGGGUUACUUGGAAUCUGUUUGGGUUUAUUAAAAAUCUUCAAUAUUGUUAAUGAAUUUUAUUUAUGGUGAUAAGUACUGUUCUGGAGAAAAGAAAAUAGGUGAAUUAGAAACUAAAAUUUAGGUUUUAGAAAUCCCAACAAUUACAAGAAAGCAUUUGCAAGAAGCUUUAUUUGGAGGUUGUAUUUUCAUCAUUAUACGGGGCUUAAGGCAGAGAGUUACCAGUUUGUACUGGGUUUGCUGCUAAGGAAACGAUUAUGCUUAGAAAUUAGCUAGCUUUGUACCGAGUUUGGUUCCUUUGCAGAUGAGUUGCUUGGGAUUUAAAUUGAAAAUCCAGAUGGUGACACAAGGAACUAAGUAUUGCAUCUUCUUGAUUCUAUCUAAUUUAGAUGAGUUACUUGGGAUUUAUUUGUGGGCGUGUGACUAAUGUUUAAGUGUUGUCAAUGAUAUUAUGGUAAGUAAUUUUGUGGUGGAAUUAGUGGAGAAAAUGAUGAUGGUAUUCAAAUCUGAGUCUCAGCUUCUAGAAAUUAUAGAGAUUUACAAGAAAACAUAUUGUAACAGGGUCCAUUAGAGGUUGAUUUUGGCGAUUCUACAAGUUUUAGCAAAGAGUACCGGUACAUGGUAGGCUUAGUAAGAAGUUAGGUGCAUUGUGUAGAACUUUGUCCUUUGCAUGCAAACAUUGGAGUCUCAUUUAACGACUUUGUACUUUAGCAUUUGAUUUGAAUAUUCUAAUGGACCACCAGUUGAAAAAAGUAUAUGCACAUCUCAUUGGAUUCGGGGAUUUUGUUGGACUCUCUUUCUUUAAUCUUGGUGAGUCACUUGGAAUGUCUUUGGGUUUGUUAAGAAUCUGGAAUAUUGUCAAUAGAUUUCAGAUAAGUACUGUACAGGAGAAAAAAUGUUCAAUUAGAAACUCAACCUUUGGUUUCCCAAAUCCCAAGAAUUGCAAGAAAAAGGUAAAUUUUUUUUGGGGGGGGGUUUGCCCAUACCAUUUUAUAAGGCUUAAGACAAUGAUUAAAUAGAACAUAGUAAGUUUGGUUAGAAGAUUGCUAGCGUUGUUACGAGGAUUAAGGCAGUGAUCAAAUAGUGCUUAGUGCAGAAUUUUCUCACCAUUUUACAAGGAUUAAGGCAAUGAUCAAAUAGAACAGACAAAGUUUAGUUAGAAGUUUGCUAGUGUUGUGCAGAGUUUGGAUCCUUUGCAGGCAAUUAGAGGACUGAUAUACAAGGACAUUGCACUUCAGGAUUUAUAUUGAAUGUCUAGAUGGUGACUGAGGAACUAUGUAUUGCAUCUUUAGGGAUUCUAUCCAAGUUUCUUGGGAUAUAUAUGUGGGUUUGUUACAAGUUUUGAGUAUUGGCAAUGAUUUUAUGGUUGAUAAGUAGCAUAGUGGUGAAAUAAAUAGAGAAAAUAAUUAUGGCAUUUCGAAUAGAAAUUUCAGAGAUUACAAGAAAGCAUAUUGUACCAAGGUCCAUUUAGGAGAUUUUUUUUAACAAGGUUUUAGGCAAAGGGUAACCAGAACUUAGUAGGGUUAGUAAGAAGUUAGGUGAACCAUGCAAAGUUUUGUCCUUGGUCAGCAAAUAUAGGACUCAUAUGCAAUGAAGUUAGCUUAAGCAUUUGAUUUGAGUAUUCAUAUAGGCGACAUGUGAAACAAAGUGUAUGGUGCAUCUUGUUGGAUUCCAAAAUUUUGUUGGACUCUAAAUGGUCUAGGUGAGUGACUUGGAAUCUAUUUGAAUUCAUAAAAAAUCUGGAAUACUGUUAAGGAAUUUUAUGGUAGAUGAGUAGUCUACUGGAGAAAAGAAAAAUAGGUCAAUUAGAAACUGAAAGUUAAAGGUUUAGAAAUUUUAAAGAAUCACAAGAAAGCAUAUUGCAGCACGGUUCAUUUGGACGUUGUCUUUUUACCAUUCUACAAGGCUUAAGAUAGUUUUUAGAACAUACUGAGUUUGAUUAUAAGUUUGCUGGUGUUGUGUAGAGUUUGGUCCUUUUACAAGCAAUUAGAGGACUUGCAGACAAGGAAACUGCACUUUAGGAUUUAACUUGAAUGUCCAGAUGGUGACAUGAGGAACUAGUAUUGCAUCUUUUUGGAUUCUAUGUAAUUUAGGUGAGUUACUUGGUAUUUAUCUGUGAGUUUGUACAAAUUUCGAGUAUUGUCAAUGACUUAUUGUUGAUAAGUAGUAUUGUGCUGGAAUUAACAGAUAAAAUAAAACUGGUAUUUCAAAUUUGGGACCCAGCUUCUAUAAAUGCUAGAGAUUUACAAUAGCAAGCUAUUCCAAGGUCCAUUGAGAGGUUGUUUUCAGUUUAAGGCAGUGAGCAAACCUCAACAUACUAGGCUUGGUAAAAACUUAGGUGAAUUGUGCAGAGUUUCAUCCUUUGCUGGCAUAUAUUGGACUCUCAUGCAUUGUUGUUGAAGUUUAGCAUUUGAUUUGAGCAGUCAAAUGGGUGGAAGGUGGAAUAAAGUAUAUGCACAUCUUGUUGGACUCUAAUUAAUCGAAGUGAGUUACUUGGAAUCUAUUUGGGUUGUUAAAGACUUCAAAUAUUGUUAAAAACAUAGUAGUGUUCUGCAGGAAAGACGAAAAGGUCAAUUUGAAACUAAUAUUUAGGUUCUAGAUGUCCCAAGAAUUAGAAGAAAGCAUAUUGCAGCAAGGUUCUAUUAUAGGUUAUAUUUUAACAUUCUACGGCCUUUAUGGCAAAGUGUAACAAGAACAUACUAACUUUACUAAGUUGGUAGAUUUAUCUAGAGUUGAGUUCCUUUACGGCAAAUAUAGGACUCUUAUGUAAGGGCAUUGCACUUUUAGGGUUUAACUUGAAUAUUCAGAUGGUUUAUAUGUGCUUGUUGGAUUCUGAGAUUUAGUUGGAUUCUAUCUGAUGACGGCAAAUUACAUCUAUUUGGGUUGUUAAGUAUCUGGAAUAUUGUCAGUCUGUUUUAUGGUUGAUAAGUGGUGUUAUGGAGAAAAGAAAAAAAGGUCUACUAGAAAUUGGCUCUUAGUUUUUAAAAUCCCAAGAAUUACCAGAAAGCAUAAAACACCUAAGAUUCAUUUGGAGGUUGUUUUUUACCAUUCUACAGGGUUUAUCGCAAUAAGUAACAAGAACAUACUAAUUUUAUUGAAAAGUCUGUUUGAUUGUGCAAAGCUUAGUUCCUUUGAUUGCAAAUAUAGGAUCCUUAUGUAAAUGCAUAGGAUUUUAGGAUUUAAAUUGAAUAUUCAUCUUUUUGGAUUUUAGGAUCAGGAUACUAGGAAUUAUGUAUUGCAUCUUUUUGGAUAUUGAGAUUAUUUUGGAUUGUGUGUAACGAAAAUGAGUUAUUUGGAAUUUAUUUGUGGGUUUGUUCUAAUGUUGGACUAUUGUCAAUAGUUUUAUGGUGGAUAAGUAGUGCUCUGGUGAAACAAAUGCAGAAAAGAAAGAAAUGUUAAUCAGAAACCGAAACUCCGGGUCUAGACAAUUUGAAGAGUUAAAAGAAAGCAUAUUGCACCCCAUGGUUCAUUUGGAAGUUGUUUUUUGGACCAGUCUACAUGGUUUAAGGCAAAGAGUUAUAAGAAAUUAGUGGAACUGUGCAGAGUUUGGUUCCUUUGCAGGGAGAAAUUUGACUGUUGUCUAUGAAGGUCACAGUGUGGGGUUAAAUUGACUAUUUAGAUGGUGACAAUAAGGAAGAAAAGUAUUUUGCAUCUUGUUGGAUUUUGGUAGUGUAUUAUGCAAUUAAAGUUAAUCUAGGUGAGUAAUCUGGAAUUUAUUUGUGGGCUCGUUACGAAUUUGGGAGAUUGUUUAACAAAAUUUUAUUUGAAAUAAGUGGUCUUCUGAUGAAAUAAAUUGGUAAUAAAAAGGGUGUCAUUAGAAACUGAUGCUAAGGCUUUAGAAAUUCUUUUUUUUUUGUCAAAACGAUAAUGUAUUAUUAAAACUUGGUACUACAAAAGUUCUACAAAUGUGGGCAACUGCCUAUCAGAUCAUCUUGUGCCAUCUGUUUGAGCCACUGGGGACAGCUAAGCUUCCAUAUUAUAUUCUUCACUAAUGUUGACGCAAAUUUUGCUACAUAAUAACCUAGACAAUUCCUUUUCCCACUAACAAACUUGAAAUUGCAAACUGAAAACCAAUCUGCUAACUGAAUGAUGUCUUCCACUAUAGUUGUCACUGUGUGGUCCUCAAUUCUUCUUUCUUUUAUCAUGUUGACCACAUUUUUACAGUCAGAUUGCAAUUCAAUUUUCGUCUAUCCUGCAUCUUUUGCCAUCAGCUGAGCCUGUUUGAUUGCUGCAGCUUCUUCCACUAUUGCUCUUCCUUUCUUUAGUUCCUGCACUACCCUCACUUCUACUAGUUCCCCUUUCCAAUUUCUUGCAACUAUCUCAAGUCCCGUUCUGAUCUUCUUUGCAGAUACAGCAGCAUCCUGUUAAUUCUUAUUGUGUCACACUGGAGAGGAGUCCAUCUUUGGUUUAUCAUUUGUUGUCUUGGUUGGUCUUCCAUUUUCUCCAGAUUCCCCUUGUUUACCUCUGUGUGUUCCAUCCAUUUUUUCUGAGCUCUCCUGAUGGUUGAGUUGCUGUCCAUUCUGUUGCCCUCGAACAUGAAUUUGUUUCUUGGUUUCCAUAUUUGCCAAUGUAUAUUGACUAUGAGUUCCAAGUGCCCCUCUCUGUUCUCCACUUUGCAUGCAUCUAUAAGACAUUCCCACCAUCUCCAAAAAUUAAACCUCAGAUCAUUCAAGCCUUCCCACUGUAAUGGUGCUAAUUUCCAUGUCUGUUGCGUAUUGGUGCAAGAAGAGAACGUGUUCAAGAGUUUCUACUUCCUCUCCACAACAUCUGCACAUAGGAUCACCCAUUUUUGUUCUAUGGAAUAUGCAUUUUUGAACCGAGAGUACUCUUGUAAGCAUUUCCAGAGAAAAUGUUUAUGGCUUAUGUUUAAUGUUCAGGUUCCACAAACCUUUCCAAACUUUAUCCUUCCUAGGUCCAGUACUAGCCUCCUCAUGCUUUUCUUUUUCACACUGGAGUUUCUUCUUCCUCUGCUUAGCUAGCAUAGCCUGUUUUCACAGUAUACACCCCAGAUUUGGAAUGUCUCCAGUACAUCCGGUCCUUUCUUUGGAAGCAACUGAUAUGAAUUCUUUGUAUUUGCUCUACAUUUUCCUGACAAAAAGUUUCCUUCAGUAACUCCAUAUUCCACUUGCCACCUGAUAAAAGUUGAUUGACUGUUUUCACUCUACAAACUAUAGGUUUUCCGUUCUAACAUUGCCCUCAUCUGUAUUAGAUAGCCACUUAUCAUUCCAUAUAUCCACUGCAUUCCCGUCUCCAAUCCUUUUCAUUAUUCCUUUGGCUAGCAAUUCUCUUGCACUGGAUAUACUUUUCCAUACCCAAUAAUCACUGUUAUUUACCUUGCUUUCAAAAAGGUUUCUAUCUCUCAAAUACCUGGCUCUGAUUACUUUGCUCAUCUGCAGGUUUGGUUGAAUUAAAAUCCUCCAACAUUGUUUGGCCAGGAGAGCUUCAUUAAAGUUUUCUAGGUCCCUGAACCCAAGUCCACCAUUUCCUUUAGUUUCAGUGAUCUUGUUCCAACUUACCCAAUGCAUUCUUUGUCUGUAUUCGCCAUUUUCCCACCAAAAAUUUGCAAUUCUUUUACAGAUCCACUUGGAAGCUUGAAGCAUGAUGGUAUUCAAAUCUUAGUCUCAGCUUCUAGAAAUUAUAGAAAUUUACAAGAAAGCAUCAUUAGAGGUUGCUUUUGGUGAUUCUACAAGGUUUAAGCAAAAAGUACCAGUACAUACAAGGCUUAGAAGUUAGGUGAAUUGUUUAGAGCUUUGUCCUUUGCGUGCAAAUAUUGGACUCUCAUUUAAUGACUUUGUACUGUAGCAUUUGAUUUGAAUAUUGUAAUGGGCCACCAGUUGAACAAAGUAUAUACGCAUCUCAUUGGAUUCAGAGAUUUUGUUGGACUCUCGUUAAUUUUGUGAGUCACUUGGAAUGCAUCUGGGCUAGUUAAAAAUCUGGAAUAUUGUCAAUAGAUUUCAGAUAAGUACUGUAUAGGAGGAAAAAUGUCAAUUAGAAACUCAACCUUCGGUUUCUGAAAAAAUGUUCAUUUUGAGCAGUGAUUAAAUAGAACAUACUAAGUUUGGUUAGAAGUUUGCUAGCGGUGUGCAGAGUAUUCUUACCAUUUUUCAAGGAUUACGGCAAUGAUCAAAUAGAAUAUACUACGUUUAGUUAGAAGUUUGCUAGUAUUGUGCAGAGCUUGUAUCCUUUGCAUGUGAUUGGGGGACUCAUAUACAAGGACAUUACACUUCAGGAUGGUGACAUGAGCAGCUAAGUAUUGCAUCUUUAGGGAUUCUAAGUUACUUGGGAUAUAUAUGUGGGUUUGUUACAAGUUUGAGUACUAGCAAUGGAGAAAUUCCAGAGAUUACAAGAAAGCAUAUUGUACCAAGGUCCAUUUAGGAAAUUUAUUUUACAAGGUUUAAGGCAAAGAGUAACCAGAACAUAGUGGGCUUAGUAAGAAGUAUUGACCUCAUAUGCAAUGAGGUUUGCUUAAGCGUUUUGAUUUGAGUAUUCGUGUCGGUGACAAGUUGAACAAAGUAUAUGGGGCAUCUUAUUGGAUUCCAAAAUUUUGUUUGACUCUAAUUAGUGUAGGUGAGUGACUUGGAAUCUAUUUGGACUCUUAACACAGAUAUAUCUCAUUUCUGUUCUAUUUUUAUUGAAUCCAAUUUGUCCUGAUGCUUAUAUUGAGAUUUUAAAAAGAGAAACUAAGGACUUACCUGACUUGUCAAAGAUUUUAAAAUUGGCUGCAGAAAAUUUCUUUAGUUGUCAACCAGCAACAAAUACUCGAUUCCUGAUUUGAACUUUGAUUCUUCACCUGUGACAAUAUGCAUGACCAACCUUCUUCGGUUUGAUAAAAUACCAUUGGCCAUUUGAGGAUCUAAUGUUUAACUGUAGAAGGUUGAGUCAUCCCCUAUGACACAACAUAACUUGCUCAGUACGAACUCCCUUGUCCGGUUCCCCAACUUCACUUUCAUCGUUUUUGUUUUCCUUUUUCCAAUUGUUGGUUUUAACAGUAUACAGUUUUCCGUUCAACAGGGGGAGAAAGGUCUCUCCAAAGAAAAUGGAGCAGCCCUUUUGGGUAAACUUUCUAUUCUUGAUUGCAUCUGAUUAGAUUGACGUGAAAAACACUACUGGUUUGCAUAUUGACAUAAAUUCAACACAUUCUUCUGGCAUUGAGGAGUUGGGUUAACAUCGUAUUCCAGGCAUCUCCUUUGGAACCAGACAAAGAAGUCCUUCAGCUUUUUAGAAUGUGUGACAAGCAGAAGGUUUAGCCCCAAAAGAGAAUGUGCAGAGUCAGGGACGCAACUGCAAAAGUGAGAAAAUCAACCGUGAUUACUUGCCAUUUCUUGAAAACACCUCACAAAACUGCCUAUUGACAUAUAUUCAAGAAUAUUUUCCAGGCAUUUGAGGUGUUUUUUGAGGAGGAGGAGGAGGAGUCAAGUGCUAAGGUACAUCAUAUCCAGGCAUCUCCUUUUCAGGAAUACGAGAAUAUGCAUAUUUUCAGAGAAUGACAAGAAGAAGGAUUAGCCCCAGUGAGAAGUAAGAUUUGUCCUUGACAUUUAGGGGUUCUUUAGUAUUAUCCCAAUUCCCACGUAAUACAGCUGUUUGUAAUAUCACAGUCGUAUGAAAGUGACCAGUGACCACACAGCAAUACUCUGAAGCAGCAAAUGUUUUUCCCAGGAAGAAAAGAAAAUUACAGUGAUUGAAUCAUGUGCAUUAAUGUACAAGAUUUACAGUCAGUGAAACCGAUCGGUAGUAAUGGCUGUUAUAAUAAAAGAUAAGAAAUGAUGGUCCUUGAAGGGAUCUUGAAGAUGA